rnacentral:rRNA from 1 species
CACGUAAGGGGCAAGCGUUGUUCGGAUUUAUUGGGCGUAAAGGGCGCGUAGGCGGUUUUGCAAGCCUGAUGUGAAAGCCUGGGGCUCAACCCCGGAACUGCAUUGGGAACUGCGAGACUUGAAUCAUGGAAGGGAAACUAGAAUUCCAGGUGUAGGGGUGAAAUCUGUAGAUAUCUGGAAGAAUACCGGUGGCGAAGGCGAGUUUCUGGCCAAUGAUUGACGCUGAGGCGCGAAAGUGCGGGGAGCAAACAGGAUUAGAUACCCUGGUAGUCCGCACCAUAAACGAUGUGCACCAGGUGUUGGGCCGAGUGGCUCAGUGCCGAAACUAACGUGUUAAGUGCACCGCCUGGGGAGUAUGCUCGCAAGGGUGAA